AGUGAACGCUGGCGGUAGACCUAACACAUGCAAGUCGAACGGCAGCACAGUAAGAGCUUGCUCUUACGGGUGGCGAGUGGCGGACGGGUGAGGAAUACAUCGGAAUCUACUUUUUCGUGGGGGAUAACGUAGGGAAACUUACGCUAAUACCGCAUACGACCUACGGGUGAAAGCAGAGGAUCUUCGGACCUUGCGCGAUUGAAUGAGCCGAUGUCUGAUUAGCUAGUUGGCGGGGUAAAGGCCCACCAAGGAGACGAUCCGUAGCUGGUCUGAGAGGAUGAUCAGCCCCACGGGACCGGGACCACGGUCCAGACUCCUACGGGAGGCAGCAGUGGGGAAUAUUGGACAAAGGGCGCAAGCCUGAUCCAGCCAUACCGCGUGGGUGAAGAAGGCCUUCGGGUUGUAAAGCCCUUUUGUUGGGAAAGAAAAGCGGCAGGUUGAUACCCCGCUGUUCUGACGGUACCCAAAGAAUAAGCACCGGCUAACUUCGUG
rnacentral:rRNA from 1 species